UUGCUUGCUUUGGCAGCACAUACACUAAAAUUGGAAUGAUUCAGAGAUUAGUAUGCCCCCUGAGCAAGGACGACAAUGCAAGUUCAUGAAGAUUUCCAUAUAUUU
rnacentral:snRNA from 1 species